ensembl:lncRNA
CGAGGUGGGUCCCCUGAUUACAUUUCAGUCGAUGCAUUCGGCCCCUUUUGCUUCAACCACAGACGGUUCCACUGCGAUUCGCCAUUACAACUUGGAACUACAAACCAAGCCAGCCACCAGCACGUCAGCCAUCAGCUCCUUGCUACACCGACGUUGGAGAGAGGGCAAGUCUGGAAGUGUGAGUGCAGCUACUUUUAUAAUGGAUCUGUACCUUGUACGGUUUCUGCUCCUCUCUCACGCUCUCUUUCUACCAUAAUUCAAGUUUUAUUAAUGCACAUGACUAAUUCAGCUUCUUUCCGGGAGUUUUUUUUGUGCUUUCGCCCCUAUCAGGUCUCCAUAGAUCGUGGUUCCUUCGGGACCCUGGUCCUGACACCUACCGUGGCCAUGCUGACGCCUGCUGCUGCCAUCAUCAUCAUCAUCAUCAUUAUUUUAUAUAUUAAUCAUAUUACUUUACUCAUAAACCGACAUUACCCUCUCCUAAAAUCUCUGUGCUCUCCCUCCCCACAGGAUUCUGUGGAUGGUGGUUCUAUCUGAUGAUGGUUGCCUCUGCAGUGGUCCUGCUGUGCGCCUGGCUUACUACUCACAAUUACUUGAAUCAUUUCUGUCAUAGGAAUUGCAUGUAUUAUACAUUGUUCAUUCUGUACACAUGGCAUCCAUUGUAGUCUGUCCAUCCCGGGAGUGGGAUCCCUCCUCUGACGUUCUCCCUAAGGUUUCUUCCCUUUUUUCCCUCUUGUAAGGGUUUUUUCAUUUUUUGGGGAGUUUUUCCUGUGCCGAUGGUGGGUUUCGGGGCAGAGGAUGUCGUAUGUGUACAGACUGUAAAGCCCUCUGAGGCAAAUUUGUAAUUUGCGAUUCUGGGCUAUACAAAAUAAAAUGACUUGACUUGACUUGACUUGACUUGACUUGUGUGUGUCUUUCAUAGUCUGUGUUUUUUUCCUACAGUAGGGUUACUCAACUGUGUGUCACUGCAGAUUGUCCCGAAAUCAUUUCUCCGACUCCUGACCCCACCAAUUCCGGCCCCCCACCUCCCGUCCCCGACAACGCAGAUUCUGCCCACCCAAUCUCUGACCCUGGAACCGCCGGUUCCGGGCUUCUGAUUUCGACCUUCAAACUCCUCAUCCCGACACCCCGAUUCCAUCCCCCCGACCCCAAACCUGGGCAUUGCCGAUCCUGGCUCUUUGCCUUCUGUCGCCAGAGCACCAGAGUCCGGCAUCCCGUCUCAAAUCACCUUUACCGCUGAUUCCAGCUCCCCUCCUCCUAAGGUCGGCAGACCCAAUUCCCCGCCGUUCUGUGGUCUUUGUGGAUAAAAUCUGCCACCGAAAAAAAUAAUUCCACAAAUAUCAAAAUAUAUAUAUAUAAGCUGGGAAUUAAAGAACUCAGUCAAAACUAAGAAAUACUUUUUGUCCACUUAUUUUUAUUUACAUUUACAUUAUUUGAGUAUCUUCAAGACCAAAACGUUCACAUUUGUUUUUCAAAUGGUCAUAGCGUUUGUCCUGGAUUUGGCUCUAUAUGUAUCCGAAGUCUGCAUAUAUUCUGAGUAUUUACAUUGUGUGUGUUUUGUGUGUGUGUUUCAGUUACACCCGUGUUUUCCACGUGUGUGUGUGUGUCUUCGUAGAAGAAACUCUGCUGCAGCAGAGUUUUGUGCCACAAUAGCCGUCAUAUUUGUUCGGGGUGGGGGGGGUUUCCGAGGGAUGUCGGAUCUGAGUGUUUAGUUUGCCAUUAUUGUUGUCAUUACAGCUAGCUUCCAGCCGGGCUUAUCAUUACCAUCUCGCCUCACCGUUGUUUUCCAGUUGUCAAUUUACGAUACAGACUGCUCUCAAGAAUUUCCCCCGCUGUCACACUGCUGAAGGCUUCCUCUUUCCCGUUCCCUUCAUUUUUCUCUUUCGUCUUUGUCUUUUUCAGUUUUUUCCUAUGCUUUUAAGAAAGUGUGUGGACGUUAUGUGUGUAUGCUUGUGUUCGGGGGGGUCAGCGAAGCUGGCAGCUUAGAGCGGCUCUGCUCGGCUUUUGGGGCCUUAAUUGAGACAUUCUGUCAAGAGUGACAAAUACAUUUGCAUGCGGUGUGUUUUUCGGGAUGUGCCUUUUUUUGAGAAGCUCACUACUCCGUUAAUCAGCUUUCUGCCACUCACAGUGGCAAGAGAUGUGCACACAUACCCAAAUACACAAAGGACACACAAAUGUAUAGUCUGAUAUAGAGUAAAGUGCACAUACAUCCGACUCACAACGCAGCUGGGAUAGUUACUCACCACCCUGACAGGAAGAAAAAGAGGACAAAUAGAGUGGGAAAAGAAGAUAAAGACUUUAGCGGAUAUAUUCAUCUAAUGUGUCCUUUUUUUAGCAGGUUUCAAGCAGUAGUUUGAGUUCACAUAAUGUGAUUCGACCAUCUAAGACUAUACAUUUUGACUAUAAU